UACGUAGGGUGCGAGCGUUAAUCGGAAUUACUGGGCGUAAAGGGCUCGUAGGCGGUUUGUCGCGUCGGGAGUGAAAACCCAGGGCUUAACCCUGGGCUGGCUUCCGAUACGGGCAGACUAGAGGUAUGCAGGGGAGAACGGAAUUCCUGGUGUAGCGGUGAAAUGCGUAGAUAUCGUAAGGAAGACCAGUGGCGAAGGCGGGUCUCUGGACAGUUCCUGACGCUGAGGCACGAAGGUCAGGGGAGCAAACGGG
rnacentral:rRNA from 1 species